rnacentral:rRNA from 1 species
GAUCAAGUUACUAAGGGCAUAUGGUGGAUGCCUUGGCACGAGAAGGCGAUGAAGGACGUGGUAAGCUGCGAUAAGCUUCGUCUAGGUGCAAACAACCUUUAAGACGGAGAUCUCCGAAUGGGGCAACCCAUCCCGGUUUAUACCGGGAUAUCGGCCGUUGAAUACAUAGGCGGUCGAAGCGAACGAAGGGAACUGAAACAUCUAAGUACCUUCAGGAAAAGAAAGUAAAAACGAUUCUCUUAGUAGCGGUGAGCGAAAAGGGAACAGCCCAAACCGAUUGGCGCGCUAAAGCCUGCUUGCGUUGCGCUGUCGGUGUAGUGGGAACCGAAUGCGGUCCGGUUGCAGACGGGCCGGGAAGUUACAAACUGUCUGUCUAGCUGAAUAAUCUGGAACGUUUAGCGAUACAGGGUGACAGCCCCGUAAGCGAAAGGCUGACAGCUUCCUGGUUCGGUCUCCCAAGUAGCACCGGUUAAGUGGAAUCCGGUGUGAAUCCGCCUGGACCAUCAGGCAAGGCUAAAUACUAACUCGUGACCGAUAGUGAACUAGUACCGUGAGGGAAAGGUGAAAAGGACCCCGGGAGGGGAGUUAAAAGAACCUGAAACCGUAUGCCUACAAGCGGUCGGAGGAAUGGAUUUUCUUCGGAAAAUCCGGACUGACGGCGUGCCUAUUGAAUAAUGAUCCGACGACUUACUUCUCUGUCGCAAGGAUAAGCCAAACACUGGUGAAUCCGUAGCGAAAGCGAGUCUGAAUAGGGCGACUCAGUGGCAGGGAGUAGACCCGAAACCAGGUGAUCUAUGCAUGGCCAGGAUGAACUCUCGGUAAAACGAGAUGGAGGUCCGAACACACCAGCGUUGAAGAGCUGGGUGAUGAGCUGUGCAUAGGGGUGAAAGGCCAAUCAAACCUGGAAAUAGCUGGUUCUCCUCGAAAUAGCUUUAGGGCUAGCCUCAGGCUAUAGUGUGAUGGAGGUAGAGCACUGAAUGGGUUAGGGGCCCCACAAGGUUACCAACCCCAAUCAAACUCCGAAUGCCAUUACAUGUUCCCUGGGAGUCAGGCAGUGGGGGAUAAGCUUCAUUGCCGAGAGGGAAACAACCCAGACCGCCAGCUAAGGUCCCCAAGUCGUGCUAAGUGAUAAAGGAAGUGAGAUCACUAAAACAGCUAGGAUGUUGGCUUAGAAGCAGCCAUCAUUUAAAGAAAGCGUAACAGCUCACUAGUCUAGUGCUCUUGCGCCGAAAAUGUACGGGACUAUGCACGGCACCGAAGCUGCGGAUCCCGAUUUAUCGGGAUGGUAGAGGAGCAUUCUGUGUUGGCUGAAGGUUUGUCGUGAGACAGGCUGGACGGCACAGAAGCGAUUAUGUCGGAACGAGUAGCGAUAAGGCGGGUGAGAAUCCCGCCCACCGAAAACCUAAGGUUUCCUGGGGAAGGUUCGUCCGCCCAGGGUUAGUCGGUUCCUAAGCCGAGGUCGAAAGGCGUAGGCGAUGGAAAACAGGUUAAAUAUUCCUGUACCGGCAGAGUCACGUUAUACCUAUGGGGUGACGCAGGAGUGACGAUCAGUCCCGUGAUGGCUUACGGGAUCUAAGCCUGUAGGUGGGAAGCGCAGGUAAAUCCACGCUUCUAACACCGAGAGGUGAUGGGGAUGGCUUCGGCCUGCAAACUGAUCUUAAUCAGACUGCCAAGAAAAACCUCUAUGGAAGUUACUCUGCCGACCGUACCGCAAUCCGCCACAGGUAGGUGAGGAGAAUAUCCUAAGGUGCGCGAGAUAACCCACGUUAAGGAACUCGGCAAAAUGACCCCGUAACUUCGGGAGAAGGGGUGCCGCCAUUAGGUGAACCCACUCGCUGGGCGAGCUGAAAGCGGUCGCAGAAAAGAGGCGCUGAUGACUGUUUACUAAAAACACAUGUCUCUGCUAAGUCUCAUAAGACGAUGUAUAGGGACUGAUACCUGCCCGGUGCUGGAAGGUUAAGAGGAGAGGUUAGUCACUUCGGUGGCGAAGCUUUGAAUCGAAGCCCCAGUAAACGGCGGCCGUAACUAUAACGGUCCUAAGGUAGCGAAAUUCCUUGUCGGGUAAGUUCCGACCUGCACGAAUGGUAUAACAAUUGGCGCA